CUCGAAUAUAAUCGCAACGAAAAGGUCAACGACUAGAGGCUUUGCGAGGCUGAGGCUGGGCUUCCGGAGGGGAUCACCCUGAGAGGGCCAGCCCAAUGCGUGCUAGGAGUCCGGAGAGUUCGUUUCCAUGGUGACGGGUUCCGCUAAGGUUUUCCUGGGGUGAAGAGGCAGGGCGUUGAAAUAGUCGCCAUGGCAACAGCAGCAGAGGACAGUAUCCUUGCUGAGUGCUCCUACCUAGAGUUAAGGUAAGCAACCGAGUGACGAAACAAAGAAGGCGGGGCCUGACGACAGAACGCCAAGGUUAGGGGAAUGGAGCGAGGCAAAUGAGGGGCGGGGCUGUAGAUGACCCGGCCAGGAGACGGCCUUGGUCUGCUCCGGGAGCGGCUCGAGACUGCGUUCUAGAGAGGAACCAGAGAGAGGGUCUUUAACCUAAAUAUAAAUGAAUGACUGGAUUCCUGAGGAAUCCGGUAUGGCUUGAUUGGAUGGAUGGAUGGAUGGAUGGAUGGAUGGAUGGACGGACGGACGGAUGGAUGGGUGGACGGAAAUCUGGCUAUCGCUGACGCCUGAGCUCCCCACCCUCUCGGGCCCUCCACCUCCGGAGCCCUCACUCGCUUGUGACAGUCGUGCGAGAAACACAUGCCUCUCCUAGGAGCAAACCCUCAACCCAAGCAGGCAGCCCAGAGCCAGUCCAGCACCUCAUACUGGAGGCAUUCAGGGUGGAGCUUAGGUCAAUGAGACGGCAUAGGAUGAGGCUUUUUGUUCCAGCCAGGAGCCACUUCUUCACAGGUUGCCCGUCCAGGGUGUAACUUUCCUUUCUCCCAGCGCCAUUUUCUCUCCUAGUUUGCCCAGCUCCUCAGGGUGCCUGGACUUUCAGGCCUCACCCUGUGUCCAGUAUAGAAGGGUCCAGCGCCCCAGCAACUGUGGGCGUCUGCAUCUUUGCUGAUCAUCCCCUGGAACUGCCGGAACUUUGCUGUAUAGGAGCUGUCCAAAAGGCAAAAUAUGGCUCUGAGAAGACACGAGUCCUUGGCACCUGGCCCUCAGGCCCUGGCAGGGCCUGUGUUUGCUGAACUGCAAAAAGGCUAUGAGGACAGAGACUUGAUGACAUGGCAAGGUGGGUGUGCAGGGUUUGCUGCGUAAGACAUGGGGAGCAGGCCCUUCCUUACUCCUCACGAGGAAAACAAGAGGUGAGCAAGGAAAAUUAGGGGCACUGCUAGUAACAUCAUGCAGGUUGAACCUGGAAACCAAUAGAAGCACUGGGUAGGUGAAAUUGGAUCCUAGAAAGCUCACGAGCCAUAAGCAGGAGGGGGCAACCAUAGGCUCCUGGGGUGGUUGUAUGCAGAAGAACUGAGGAAGGAGGUGGGAUGGGCCAGGGAGGCUGCACAGUUGUGGUAACAGUAGGCACACCAGGGAAGGGGGAGGUUUGGGGACCCGCUGCCUGAAGAUAGCUCAGGUUAGGGGCUGAAGGCCUGGGAGGACACAGAGAUGGGAAGGGUUAGAUGAGCUGUCUAGGGUUAGGGUUUCCCAAAGCCUCUUUGGGGCCUCUGCUCUCCUCAUUACCUGCCUCUGGCUCCCCGGACACUUGAGAAGUUAUAUAAUUAGCCAGAUAGUAGAAAAAAUACCUUUUUAUUAUUAGGAAUAAUUCAUUCAUGUAAUGCAAGAUGUAUGUUGGAGAAGGUUAAGUAUAGCCACAUGAAUGAGGGGAAACGAGCAAGAGGAACAGUGGUGAGAAGGGGGAUGGUCCCCCACUUUCCACAAACUAUAAA
rnacentral:lncRNA from 1 species